rnacentral:rRNA from 1 species
CCCUAGUAACGCGAGUGAAGCGGAAAAGCUCAAAUUUAAAAUCUGGCGGUCUUCUGGCCGUCCGAGUUGUAGUCUGGAGAAGCGUUUUCCGCGUUGGACCGUGUACAAGUUUCCUGGAACGGAGCGUCAUAGAGGGUGAGAAUCCCGUCUUUGACACGGACCCCAAUGCUUUUGUGAUGCGCUCUCAAAGAGUCGAGUUGUUUGGGAAUGCAGCCAAAAUGGGUGGUG